CCUACGGGAGGCAGCAGGGGGGAAUAUUGCACAAUGGGGGAAACCCUGAUGCAGCGACGCCGCGUGAGUGAAGAAGGAAUUCGUUAUGUAAAGCUCUAUCAGCAGGGAAGAAAAUGACGGUACCUGAGUAAGAAGCCACGGCUAACUACGUGCCAGCAGCCGCGGUAAUACGUCGGGGGCAAGCGUUAUGCGGAUUUACUGGGUGUAAAGGGUGCGUAGACGGCAGGGCAAGUCUGCAGUGAAAGGCGGGGGCUCAACCCCCGGACUGCUCUGGAUACUGUACGGCUGGAGUGCAGGAGAGGGAAGUGGAAUUCCUGGUGUAGCGGUGAAAUGCGUAGAUAUUAGGAGGAACACCAGUGGCGAAGGCGGCUUACUGGACUGUAACUGACGUUGAGGCUCGAAAGCGUGGGGAGCAAACAGGAUUAGAUACCCGGGUAGUC
rnacentral:rRNA from 1 species